rnacentral:tRNA from 1 species
GGGAGUGUGGCUCAAGUGGUAGAGUACUUGGCAAGCAAGUGUGAGUUCAAUUCCUACUACUACCA